GCCAUAUGAUGAUCAAAUUUCUCAAGAACUUCUUGUGAUGCUGACAUCUUAUCUAUCACCCUAUGACUGAUGGCU